rnacentral:rRNA from 1 species
UGGGGGAUAUUGCACAAUGGGCGAAAGCCUGAUGCAGCGACGCCGCGUGGGGGAUGAAGGCUUUCGGGUUGCAAACCUCUUUCGCUAUCGAACAAGGCCCGCUUAGGGUGGGUUGAGGGUAGGUGGAGAAGAAGCGCCGGCUAACUACGUGCCAGCAGCCGCGGUAAUACGUAGGGCGCGAGCGUUGUCCGGAAUUAUUGGGCGUAAAGGGCUUGUAGGCGGCUUGUUGCGCCUGCUGUGAAAACGCGGGGCUUAACUUCGCGCGUGCAGUGGGUACGGGCAGGCUUGAGUGUGGUAGGGGUGACUGGAAGUCCAGGUGUAGCGGUGGAAUGCGCAGAUAUCUGGAGGAACACCGAUGGCGAAGGCAGGUCACUGGGACAUUACUGACGCUGAGGAGCGAAAGCAUGGGUAGCGAACAGG